rnacentral:lncRNA from 1 species
AAUUUGCACAAUUCUUGCAAAACUCAUUUUGAGGCUGGGGCAAAGGAUGGCAGAAGGGAAGAAGAACAAGAAAGUUUUCUGCAUAGGGGUCAGAGCCCGGGGUUAAUGGACUCAAAAUGUGGAUGGUGCAGGAAACACCGAGCCUUUAUUUUGGGCAUCACAAAGCCAGAGGAGAGCAGCAUCGGACAAAUUGGUUUGGACUGUGUGAGGUCUGACCUGUGCUCCCAAACCCAUUUCUACCAAGGUGGGGCUGGCCCCCAUGGCUGCAAGGCUCUACGUCCUGAUCAGCUGGCCGGACGGCAGCCGCGUGAUCAACAUCGAGAACAUCAAGGAGCCCCGGAAGCCGUUCCACCUCUACGCCGUUGGGGAGCAGGUGCUGGCCCGCUGCCCUGGCUUCAGUGGUUUGUACUGGGGGGUCGUGGAAGGCAUCAGUGAGCAGAAGGAUAUUUUAGAGAAGAGGCUGCAGGAAGAUAGACAGCUCCUGGAGAAGUUAAAGGAAGAGCCCACCGUGCACCAUGUGCUGUCUCCUUCCCUUAAGAAAUCGAGGAAGACUUUUCCCAAGUGGACCCCAGGAAGCCCCUUGAGGAAGUACGCUGGCAACAGGGCCUUCCACGCCAGGCCGUCACUCGGGGCCGAUGAUGCGGGCGUCCGGCACAAGGAGGCAGCCUCCUCGCUCAUGAAGGAGAGACCCAGCCUUGGCAGCAACCCCGGGCCCCACUGCGCAGUGUCGGUGCCUCGCCAUGGUUCAAGUGCCUUCAGCCCGGCGUCUCCAUUUGUCAGCCUGGCUGAGCCUGGGACAUCCCAAAAUGAAGAAGCAAGGCCCGUCACAGCGACCAGAAAUUAUCUCACCCUGGCAGUGAAGAGGAAGUCAGAUGGUAUUCUAGCUCAAUGCCAGCAACGGCUCUACGCAAACAGCUGUGAUGAACCAAAGAUGGAAGCAUCUCAGGAGACGGAGGAUUUUGAGGUCGUUCAGCAAAAUGUUGGCUCCGGUGCAAUGGAAAGGGUACAGAAGAUUGAGCAACUGGAGAGGAUCGUCUUGGACCUGCAGCAAGAGGUCCUGUCCCUGAAACGGAAAGUGCAGCGGCUGGAAUCGCUCUCCUUCCAGGAAGAGCCCCACCGGCAGCCCUGCGAGGUGGUGGAGCUGUUUAACGGCUACACGAAGGAGCAGCUCAAAGAAGCCAUCCGCUUCGACCAGAAAAUCAGCACCGCCUGCAAAACCCUGCUCUACAAGCUCUUCACGUCCGACUACAUCCAGAGCCACUCCAUCACUGGGCGGAGAGGCAACACCUUUCGCGAGGCCAAGCCCAUGAUGGAUGAGCGAUGCAUCAAAAUCAUUCGGGUUCUGCUCAAGCAAAAGUUUGGGGAUCACCUGAGCGACACGGUCAUCACGGAGAAAAUCCAGAACGUGCAAAAAGCCCUGCGGCAGAAAUUUAAGACCGAGUGUCUCUGA